CUCGACUUGCUGGGGUUAUUUAUAUCCUCAGCAAACAAAGAGAAAAUGCAGCCAAUACUGAUUGCAGAAGUGAGCAGUAUUAAUGGCUGGACAUAAUUUUGCUAUUUCCUGUUCUGUCAUUGAAUUUAUACCUUGUUCAGCCAAAGGAACUCACUGUAAUUUCACCCACCCUCUCUUUUGACCUUCUUUUCAGAAUGAACUCCCAGCAAACAAUAACAAGACUUUGGAUUCCUAUGGAGCAUGAAGACCAGCAAGUUCCCAUUCAGACACGUUUUUGGUUUAUUUGACUCCCUGAAGCAAAAAAUCUGACUGAUUUGUAACAGUGACCUAGUCAGAAACUUGGGUUUGUCAAAGGCAGAAGCAGAAUGACUGGCUUCAAGACUGCAGAGAAGGAAUCUGCUUUCAACGGGCACAAAUAUUUCUGUGAAGGAUUUUGACAUUUGAGAGAGAUAUUUCCCAGAAUAAAUGAUGCCAAGAUUCAGGAAGACAUUUUUAUUGGUCCACAAAUCAAACAGACUUCCUCCCUGCACACCUUAGCACUGUCAGUGAUGAGCAUGGUGAAAGAUUACACCAGGACAUUGUGGUCAUGGAGAAAUGGUAACAGGGCAACUGGAAUCCAUCAAUGCUGGCUGAUUAUUUUUGGACACCUAAGCAAGAAACCUCAGACACUAAGUACCAAUGAAAAUCAUCAGAACAUUUUUAGCUCUGUUGAACUACUGCAAAGCAUCAGCACCAUUAUGCAAUUAAACCCAUUAUAUUCAAUAAAAGUUAAUUUCUUGUUUCUCUAAAUUCCUAAAUAUGAGAAGUAGCUUGAAAUUAUAUUUGUGUUCAGCUUCAAGCGGUCUAUCGUAAACAAAAAUAAACUUCUGAGGAAGCAACACUUUUGGGAAAAAAAUGCUGUCCAGUGAAAUCUGCCAGAAGCACUCAGCACGUCAAGCAGUAUUUGUGUGUGUGGGGGUUGGGGGAGGUAAAGUCGAUGUUUUGGGUAGAAAGCCUGCAUCAGAUUCUAAUCCAAACUGUCCACAAUUCCUUUUCCCACAUGUACUGGCUGACCUGUUGAGUUCCUCCACAGAUUGUUCGUGACUACUUUGGAGAUGGGGCUUCCCUGUUGUCAAAGUUGAUGUGUGGCUUCUUGUACCUUGUUGGGAAGUAUUCCUGGGUGUUCCCACUGGGAGGACCAUUGCAAGACAAGUCUGCUAUGCUUACCCCAAAAUCCUGCUCCCUGCAUUUUCUGGCACACUGACGAGAUGAGGCCUCUGUCGGUCAGAGUUGACCAUGGAUGUUGUGUCCCAGCUGUCUAGAUACACAAGCCUGGGCAGUCCAAUAUGGAGAGUAAGCUGUUGCCCAUGUAGCAAGCUCCCCCUCUCCACACAUCUGAUGAACCCAAAAGGAAUGGCAGAGACAGAAAACAGUUUGGCACCAGCAGCAUCGCAGGAGUUGCCAGUCACCAUUGAACUCAACAUAGGUCUGCCUUAGGGACUCUGGCUCUGGACAUUUCCCUUGGGGUUUACUCCCAAAAUUUUCCCCUUGAGUCAGUAUAGCUGCAAGGCAGUGGAGGUUUGAGAUCAGAAUUUUCCUUCUAGAUGAGCUGCCAACCAUGGCUGGUGAACCCCAUCUACCCAAAGCAACUGGUUUUAAGGUGCCAGUAACCCACCUUUGCCCCUUCUCUUAUCAGAAGAAACGGUUCUGCCGGGCUUAGUAGCUAAGCCACAUGUGAAGGCCAGGAGCUGGACUUGGUUGUCAGAGGCUAUUUGAGACACACGCCAUUGGGAGCAUUUAAUAGGUGGUAGGAGCUUGUCCCCAGUACCACCCCCAGCUAUAACAGCCUUAAGGACCAGACAUACUGAGCUACUGAAAAGGUCACCAAUAGAACUGUGCCUUGUGGCUCCAAAUGACCCCAGUUCUAUCCCGACUUUGGGCACUGCUGGUGUGGAGUCCACACAUUCUCCAUGUGACCCUGGGUCCUCCUGCAUUCCAAAGACAUGCGUGUUGGUAGUUAAUUUGUCACUAAGAGGGAAUCAUCAUGAUGGUGCUGGUGAAACAGCGUGCUUUGCAGGCUUAUUGUGUUUCUUUGUAUUUACCGUGAAUACCUGCAAGAAAGUGAAUCUCAGAGUUGUAUAUGGUGACAUAUAUGUACCUUAAUAAAUUUACUCUGAACUUUGAACUGAUGGGAAUGUGGGGAGCACAAAAUAGGAUUAAUGGAAACAGCUGGUUGAUGGACAGUGUGGAUUCGAUGGGCCAAAAGGCGUUUUUCCAUGUUGUGUUGUCCAUGUUGUGUUGUUGUUCCUCCUACUUCCAAAAGACACAUUAGUAAAUAAACUAGCUGCUGUGCAGGUGGGUGGCAAAAAGAAUCAAAGGGGAGUACAUGGACAUGUGAGAGAGGAUAAUGUAGAGGUUACAAGGAAAUGAGAGGGAGGUAGAACUGACGGGAUUGCUCUGCUGGGAAUUUUGAGUAAAUCUUGGUUUCAAGUCACCAUCUGUGUACAUGAUUUGAAUGGGAAGCUAGGCCCAAACAGAUUUUAUAAAGAAGAUAAAAGAUUCUUUAUAAACAUUGAAACAUACACAGAAAUGUAUCAUUUGUGUCUGAAUAUGUGCCAGGAUCAGCCGCAACUGUCGCCAUGCUUCCGGCACCAACAUGGCAUGCCAGAACUUACUAACCCUAAACGGUACAUCUUUUGGAAUGUGGGAGGAAACCGGAGCACCUGGAGGAAACCCAUGCAGACAUGGGGAAAAUGUACAAACUCUUUACAGACAGCGACGGAAUUGAAUCCCAAUCGCUGAUUGCUGGUGCUGUAAUAGCAUUACGCAGAAAACGUGUAACAGGGCUGUCACAGGAAAUCAGCAUCCAUCAUCAAGGACCCUCAGCACACAGACCAUGCUCUCUUCUCACUGCUGCAAUCAGAAAGAAGGUACAGAAGCCUCAAGACCCACACCACCAGGUUCAGGAGCAGUUAUUAACCCUCAACCAUCAGGCUUUUAAACUAGAGGGGAUAGCUUCACUUGCCCAUCACUGAACUGUUCCCACAACCUAUGGACUCUCUUUCAAGGACUCUAAACUCAUGCUCUCGAUACUUAUUGCUUAUUGUUUAUUGCUACUAUUUUUUCUUUUUUUUUGUAUUUGCAUUUUGUUGGGUUUUUUUUUGCACAUUGGUUGUUUGUCCAUCCCGUUGGGUGCAGUCUUUCAUUGAUUCUAUUGUGUUUCUUGUACUAUAUGUACUUUGAUAAUAAACUUACUUUGAACACUAAACACAACACUACCAUGUCGCCCCAUUGAGUACUACAAUGUGGCAAAGGUGAAAACAGAGUUAGUUUCUUUUUGGUUGUUUCUGCUGGCAGUAAUAGACGCAUGCCAAUCAUUUGAAUGAAGGUCUCAUGGUCCUAGUCAAACAUUUACUUUUAAACCAAUAUCUAAUGUCAAUCUUGUGGUCUUUGCAGUUUUUGGUUGGGUGUAUAAUUGUCUACUCCCACCACCAAUUAAAUGCUUCCAGUGGUGUGAUUAAAAUAUCCACAGUGUAACAAUGAAUAUAUAUAUCAAAUGUCUUCUCAGUAACCAAAUUUCUGAUUUCAUAAGGUUGUGAUAAAAAAAAACUAUAGGAAUAUCAAUUAUCUCCUGCUCUACAAAAAUGGGGCAAGACUACUUAACAGAAAUGGCAGUUUAAGAGAUAUUUAGAUGUGCACAUGAAAUAUUUGGGAAUGGGAAGUGGGAAUACAGGCCAAGUGCAGGCAGGUGGGAUUAA